GGCAACGACCACCCAGGGCCGGAAAGUUGGUCAAACCCGGUCAUUUAGAGGAAGUAAAAGUCGUAACAAGGUCUCCGUAGGUGAACCUGCGGAGGGAUCAUUA
rnacentral:rRNA from 1 species